rnacentral:rRNA from 1 species
AACGCGAAGACCUUACAGCUCUUGACAUCUUCGAUCACCCUAGAGAUAGGGCUUUCCUUCGGGGACAGAAUGACAGGUGCGCAUGGCCGUCGUCAGCUCGUGUCGUGAGAUGUUGGGUUAAGUCCCGCAACGAGCGCAACCCCCGCCCUGUGUUGCCAGCAUUAAGUUGGGGACUCACAGGGGACUGCCGGUGACAAACCGGAGGAAGGUGGGGAUGACGUCAAAUCAUCAUGCCCCUUAUGAGCUGGGCUACACACGUGCUACAAUGGACGGUACAACGAGUUGCGAGGCCGCAAGGCUUAGCGAAUCUUUAUAAGCCGUUCUCAGUUCGGAUUGCUCUCUGCAACUCGAGAGCAUGAAGCCGGAAUCGCUAGUAAUCGU